AUGACUUCCCUUCACGUAUUUGUACAUGGCUAUCAUGUCUCCUCUCAGCCUUCUCUUCUGCAGGCUAAACAUGCCCAGCUCUUUAAGCCGCUCCUCAUAGGGCUUGUUCUCCAGACCCUUAAUCAUUUUAGUCGCCCUCCUUGUUUCCUUUAUUCCUAUGCUGUUCCCUUUCUCUGCUCUGAUCCUGAGCUCGCUGAUAAGAACACACUGGUCAGAAAGGAAGGCUUUUGUGUUGUGUCGCCAAGUUUCGUAUUUCUGGAGCGUUUAGUUGUGUUGUUAUAGUCACAAUACGUUGUUGUGAGUUUUGUCGGUCCAGUGUGGUUUUGUGGUGUGAUUGUGUUGUUACAACCGGGAGGGAAGGCUUUUGCGUUGUGUUGCCAAGUUUUGUAUUUCUAGGGCCUUUAGUUAUGUUGUUAUAGUCAUGAUUUGUUGUUGUGAGUUUUGUGGGUCCAGAUUGUGGUUUUGUGGUGUGGUUGUGUUGUUGUAACCGGGAGGCAAGGCUUUUGCAUUGUGUUGCCAAGUUUCGUAUUUCUGGGAUGUUUAGUUUUGUUGUUAUAGUCACUGCGCCCACAACUUUAUCCUUUUAUAUAUAUAGAUUUAAGCCAUAUGCUGCGCUAAACUACAUUUCCCAGAAUGCAUUGGGCUGCAGCAGCAGCAAGCCAGGGUUUUUAAUAAUAAUAAUAAUAAUAAUAAUAAUAAUAAUAAUAAUAAUAAUAAUAAUAAUUUGUUCUUAUAACCCGCUUCCAUCUCCCCGAAGGGACUCAGGGCAGCUUACAUGGGGACCACUCCCAGCAUAAACAAGUGAUACAAAUUACAUAAUUAUAACAGUAAAAGAGUAUAAUUAAAACAAUUAAAACCAGAAAAGUAAAAACAUCAGCAUCAUAACUAAGAACUCGAAAAGGUGGGCAUCUUCAGAUUUGAGAGAGGUGGGCGAGGCUUGUGCAAAACGCAAAACAAUAGGGCUGGGGCUGGGAAUAAAGUUCAGGAAGAACCAAAACAACAAUAGAACUAGGCAGCCAUGGUUGGGGCUAAACUAUUAUUUGUAAGCACAUUUUUAGGCAAUCUAUAAUAAAUAAAAUCAUGGAAACUGCAAAGAGGGUUAAAGUAAGUAAGUAAUAGUAUAAAUCUGUGCUAAAUUGAAGUUAUUUGGUUGUGUGUCAAUAGGGGAAGCAUAUUAAUUGGACAUCAGGAGAGUUUGGAUUGUGCCUUUCUGCCUGGAAGAAAGGAGUCAAUCUAGAUCAGGUAUGGGCAAACUUCUGCCCUCCAGGUGUUUUGGACUUCAACUCCCACAAUUCUAACAGCUAUAUAGCUCAGGAUAGCUAAAAAUGAGGGAGAAAUAAGCCCCUCAAGUUUCCCCACUGACAAUAAUGCUUUCCUUAAUGCGCAUGUGUGACUACCAUUAAUGAGGUACUUACAAAGAUUUGGGAGUUUUGUAAAGUUUCAAAAUGUUUACCCCUAAAAUUCUGAAAGGACUUUAGAAAUGAAGCGCCAGUGCCCCCUACUUUUGAACACAGUUUAGAGCCAUGUUUUUUUGCACAUGCCUAGCAUCUACAAUGUAGAAUUAAUGCAGUUUCACACAACUUUAACUGCCAUGGCUCAAUGCUGUGGAAUCCUGGGAGCUGAAGUUUAGUGAGGAACCAGCACUCUUUGGCAGAGAAGGUUACAGGCCUUGCAAAACUACAAGAGCUAUGACUCCAUAGUAUUGAGCCAUGGCUGUUAAAGUGGUGCCAAGCUGCAUUAAUUAUACAGUGUAGACGAACCUUCAGUCAAGGAAUCCACAAUCCAGAGUCUGCAAGACUUGAUCAUGGCUGUUGAUGAUAGCAUGACUUGGAAAUCUCUUAUUCACAAGAUCACCGUAAGUCAAACUGAGCUUGAUGGAAGUUUACAAUAGCACCAGCAUAUAAUUAUUUUAAGAUGGUAAUAUCCAUCUGU
ensembl:lncRNA